AGCAGUGUAGCAUAGUGGUUAAGGAGCUGGACUUGCAACCAAAAGGUUGCCGGUUCGAUUUCCCACGGGGUCACUGCUG